rnacentral:rRNA from 1 species
UACGUAGGGGGCAAGCGUUGUCCGGAUUCAUUGGGCGUAAAGAGCUCGUAGGCGGUUCAGUAAGUCGGGUGUGAAAGCUCCGAGCUCAACUCGGAGAGGCCACCCGAUACUGCUGUGACUUGAGUCCAGUAGAGGAGCGUGGAAUUCCAGGUGUAGCGGUGAAAUGCGUAGAUAUCUGGAGGAACACCGGUGGCGAAGGCGGCAUCCUGGACCGGCAUUGACGCUGAGGCGCGAAAGCUAGGGGAGCAAACGGG